rnacentral:misc_RNA from 1 species
GCAACCAAAUGCUAAUGAAACUAAUGAAGGUAACAUAACACAAUCUACUGCACAUCCUAAGUUGAAAUCUAGGAGUGGGGUUUGGGUUCACUUUGAGAAAUUGAUUAAUUCUGAGGGUAGUGAGAUUGGUAGGGCUCAAUGUGUGUGGCGUAAAAAAGAUCUAAACUGUAAGAGUGAAGGUGGCACUUUGGGAAUGUGGAAGCAUUUGAGGGAAUCUUGUAAAAAGUACCCAUAUAAAAAAGAUUUAAAUAAAGAAAAGUCUCAAAGAACCUUGUCUUUUCAUAAGGGUUCUGGGGGUGAGGAUGUUAAGUUGACUUCCUGGCAAUUUGAUCAAGAUACUUGUAGGGAGGCUUUAGUUAAGAUGAUAAUCAGAGAUGAACUUCCUUUUAGGUUUGUUGAGAAGGAAGGGUUUAUAGAGUUCUUACAAGUUGCUGUGCCACAAUUCAAAAUUCCAUCUACAUAUACAAUGGCAAGAGAUUGCUAUCAGUUGUUUAUCUAUGAGAAAAAGAAGUUGUCUACAUUCAUUGCAUCUCAAUGUCAAAGGGUUUCUUUAACCACAGACACAUGGAUUAGUGUUCAAAACUUUUCUUACUUUUGUUUGACUGCUCAUUUUAUUGAUUCUAAAUAGAAAAUGCAAAAACACAUCCUGAAUUUCACUGUUAUUAAGAGUCAUGAAGGGGUUAAUAUUGGUAAUGCCAUUGAUUUUUGCAUGGAGGAGUGGGUUGUGUCUAAGGUAAUGCGCAUCACUGUUGACAAUGCAUCUUCUAAUGAUUCUGUUAUUUCACAAUUGAAGAAAGGGCUACUUAAGAAAAAUGCAUUUGUAUUGAGUUGGGGGUGCAUUUCAUAUGAGAUGUUGUGCUCAUAUCAUUCAAUUAGUUGUGAGGGAUGGACUUGAUGCUAUGCAAGGUUCUAUUAAAAGGAUUAAAGAUGUGGUGAAAUAUAUAAGGAGCAGUCCACAAUGCUCUGAAAUGUUUAAGAAGUGUUUUCAAUUGGCAGGACUCAAGUCUAAAUGCUCUUUGCAAUUAGAUUGUCCAACUAGAUGGAAUUCGACAUAUUUAAUGUUGGAAUCUGCACUGACAUAUCAGAAAGCCUUUGAUAGAUUAAAGGAUAUAGACAAUCGAUUUCGAGUUGAAUUUGGGGAUGGGUUGCCUAGUGAAUUUGAUUGGCAUAAUGCUAGGAUUCUUUGCAAAUUCCUUAAGAAAUUCUAUGAUAUCACUUGCAAGUUGUCUGGGUGUUUGUAUUCCACAUCUAGCAUUUACUUUCUUGAGAUUGAUAAGUGCAUAAUUAAUAUUUUUACUCCCAUUACAUUUAGUAUUUCUAGUGUAUUUUUAUGCCUAA